AAAACUGAAGCCCAGAAAGACACAAUGUGUGUAUGAGGUCACGUAACCAGUGAUGGAGCCAACAUUUAUAUCCAGGAGAAGAGUGAAGGUCCUGCCCACCUGCCAAUGAUGGCUGCCUAAGGCACAUGCUGUUAAGGUGAGAAGCCUGGGGCCACAAGCUGGUGGAGCUGGAACCAGAACCAGG